AUGGCCCAGCUCCGUGAGGACGGUCCUGCUCGACCACGUUCGUGGUGUCGUCACAGGAAGCGACGAGGAGCAGACCCGCGAGCAGCCACGCGCCCACACCGGCCGAUCCAGUCCCCCGUUCAAUUAGGUGUGUGGCUGUUGCCUAUUGCUCUCGACGAGCAGCUGCUGAGCAAUGUAGUAGCUUGCAAGGACACAAGACGCAUUGAAUGGCUUGUCAGUCACAAUGGCUACCCCUCCGUCUCUUUAAACCAGCCAGCCUUCUUGUUUCGGCAGUUCAACUAUUCUUGGGUGCUCUCCAUCUCGCUCUCGUUUGACACCAUUGACUCGCCACAGCUGAGAAACAUGUCUUCAUCCAAGUUUCACGGCAGUUCGCCACCACCUCCAUCGCAUGUCCUUUCAAAUCUGGUCGCCCCUCUCAUCCGUUGCCUUUGCAAUGCAGGUACAAGUCAGCUUAUACAAAUGAUUCUUUGUGCUUCUAAGAAAGGUGAAGAAGACGAGCACAACACAAGCUACAAAGGGCUCCCUAGCACAAUUCCUUCGGUGGGGGAGUUCAUCUCUGCAAGUCGGGGCCAAAUGGCAAGGUGGCUUGGCUUGGGGUGCUAUUGGUUGCGAUUGCAGCAAAAGGCGACGACGGUUUUGAGCAACAUGACGCUCCUCUCGAUGGUGGCAUGGGGGAAGGGAGCGAUGUUGCGCCCAUCGAGAUCCAGAGCCUCGUGGCUUCUACCUGCGAGGACUAGGGCCUCUUCCAUGUGCACGAUCAUGACGUGGACGCCACCCUCAUCGCCAACAUGGCGUGCCUGUCCCACGAGCUCUCUGUACUCCGAGCUGAGUAUGACUACCUGCGACGGCGACCAUGUGGGCGUCGGGGCAUUGCUGAGGAGGACACUAGGGAGGCGUGAGACCGGGUCAUCGCUCCUGUAUAUCAAUUUGAAUGCCACCUCGCGCAAAACCACCUUCCAACUGCCGCAGUGGGGUAAAAUAAACCACAUUGUCCCCGCAAACACCAAAUUCUCUGAGCAUCGCUGGAUCCGAGCCAACACCAUUGUCGUCGCCGGCUUUACAGUCGAAAAUGAAGCUCACUGCACGCGGAAGAGCCAUUGUUGUUGUGGCACGUCGACGUGCCUCAUCCCCAUCUACCACCGUCGGGCCGCCAGCCUACUCCCGAGCCUCCACGCUCUCUUGACGGCCAACGCCCUUACCAAGGGCGACAACCACCGACCGUUGACUUCACUCUUGUACAAGCUCCCAUGGCCCCGCAGUGACAUCGGAGGAAAUGCCACUGAGACAGGGACAGGGCCAGGGCCGGAGAAACAAAAUCCCAAAAGGUCGCCACCACUCCGACGACCCCAAGGCACAAAAAUUCCACCAGUGAGCGCCGUCGCCACCAAGAGAACGACGCCCACGGGACCCCUUCUUCUAUGCCUAUCUACACGCCAAGAACGAAACACUGGGUUCCCCGGCCCUCCUGCAGCCGAAGCGGCCGGCGGAGGGACAGGGAACCCACGGGCUCGCCGGCGGGAGAAGAGAGAAGAUCAAGACCCUCCCGGGUCGCCUCUCUCACACUAUAGCAGAGAAGGGGAACGGGUAGAGGUGGUAGUCACGGUGCACAUUAGUUGUGUAAUGGAGUGGAAAUUUGUAGAGAGUCACCUCACCAGCAUAUCCUCUGAUAGAGCUGCUAUACACGGUGAAGAUGACUCCUCCUCCUCUGGCGCUCCCGCGGGCAGCAGGGGAGGAACCCUAGCCGCCGGACGCCUCACCACCUCUCUUCUCCUCCUCCUCCUCCCGCCGCCGCCAGAGGGCGCGCCCGGGCGAAGCCCGGCCGGCGCCGGCAGCGGCGGGGCGUCUUCAUCGCCUCAUGCGGGAGGGCUAGCGCGGGCCAGCCGACCUGGAUCUGGUCAAGGCGUUCUUGCGGGGCGCCGCGGCGCGGCCCCUCAUCGGCGCAGGCGGCUUCCUCCGCCGUGGCAGCCGGCUGGUGGAGGUGACGGCGCAGCAGUGGCGGCCUCGGCCUUCCCCUCCUCUUCUUCAGCUCCGGGGGGAGGUGGUGCUGUGGGCCGGGGGUCGGGGAUGGCUGCCGGCGCCCCAGCCAAAGCUGACCUCGUGGUGGCGCGAGCCGCGUUCGGGAACGCUUUGGGGGUCGGCCGACGGCUCGUGGUUCCGGUGGUGCGUGCCCGGCGGCUCCGGCGCUUGGAGUUCACCGGGCGACGCGGGUUGGGCAGCGGCCGGGUGUGGCCGCUGCUCUGGCCGUGGGCGGCGGCGUGGGGAGGUCCAACGGGUGGCCUCCUGGUGUCGUGGCGGCUUCAGGGUGGCUCGACGGUUCUGCCCGCGACAGCGGCCGGCUUCUCCGGCGUCGGCUCAUCUGCGUGCAGACCGUCUCGACCUUCGCUCCAUCUCCUCGUCGCCCGGCCGCUACUCUCAUCAGAGGGCUGGUCCUCUCCCAGCCGCGGUCCACCGCUCGUCUCGCGCCCGGUGCAGCAGGACCGAGCUCGCCUCGCGCACGGUGCAGCAGGACUGACCUCGUCCCCCUCUCGGUGCUGCAGGACCGAGCUCGUCUCGCGCUCGGGGCAGCAGGACGGGUCGGGGUGCGAAAGGUGGAACCUUUCCGCUCAUCUCUUUCGUUGGUGUUGCGGCGGGUCUCGGGUGAGGUGGUGUCAAGGUAUUGCAUGCCAGGGCGGCGGCCCUAGUGGUGGUAGCGCGGUGCUCUUGGGCGGAGCCCGUGCCUUGGCGUUGCCCGGUCACCAUGGCCAUGUGGACGGCGUGGUUGCCGGGGUGUGGCGUUCGGUGGCGCUAUCCAACGCGGGACUGUAUUGGUCAGUCGACCGGUCCGUAUGUAAUUUUUCCCACAAAGUCGAAACAAACUGGACAGAAGAUUUGUGGAAGUCCGGACAGCAGACACGUAGGCCUCUGACACCCCCGGCCCACCCAAAACCUCCCCGGACGCCGCGCCUCCAUCCUCCCAUCUUUCUCUGCAUUUUCUUCUCCAUUGCCCCCGUCGCCGCUCCACCUCUCCUCCCGUCCCGCCACACCCUUGUGGAAAUCGACGACACCAUCUCCUCCAAUGUUAUACCCGGGCUUCAUGCCGCUUUUUCUCCACAGUCGGUCCAAACCUCUCCUCCGCCCGCUGCACAAGUACCAUCUGCCCCUAUGGACUACAGGAAUAAGAUGGCGAUGAUGCAGGCAGUCAUUGUAGAUGUGGAGCAUGCGGAAGAGCAUGUUCUCAAUUUCAAUGGAUUGAUCAAGGGUCAACGAGUGCUGAACCGCAACAGGGCGCGCGGCCAUUUGACGCCGAUGGACGACUACUUUGCCCCCGAUGCCUUAUCCGCUGACAUUUUUUGCCGGCGCUUUUGGAUGCGAAAAAAUGUCUUCGGCUGUCUCUACCAUGGCGUCCGGUCCUUUCAUGACUACUUCAUCUUGAAGAAAGAUGUCAUGCAUGCAAAGAACUUAAUCAUUGUGUCCCGGAGUCCCUUGGUAUGCUACCCAUGGGCCAUUUGCAAUGUUGAUCUAACACUGUCACACACCUACCCGCUCCAAUGCACCGUCAAAGCACACAUGAAUCCCACGCAGAUGUUCUCAAAGAUCACAGAAUUAUCCCCACGAGGAGGGGAGACGUCGAGGGUACUCUUAGCCAGAAUCCAGCUGGUGUGCGUGGUGAUAAUGGAGACCUCGGUAUGGCCCACCAGCGAUGCAACCUUGGGCGAGGGAAGAGGCGGCCGGCUAGUGAUGCUUGAACAGCGGCUGGCCGCGCGACGGAGAAGGGGCGAUCGAGCACGCGCGACGGAGAAGGGGAAGGCGCAGAAGCUGAGCGGACGAGCAACCCUAUGGGCGCACGUACAGGUAAGAUGGGCUGCACUGCCUCCUCGCUUGUGUAUUGCUGGGCUGGCCGGUGUCCACGUCCAAAAGUAA
rnacentral:rRNA from 1 species